rnacentral:rRNA from 1 species
CUGGCUGGCGCGGGUCAAACCGCGCCUCGUUGGUGAUUCAUGGUAACCAAUUCGGAUCUCUGUCGCAAGACGGAGACGACUCAUUCAAAUUUCUGCCCUAUCAGCUUUCGACGGUAGUGUCGUGGACUACCGUGGCGGUAACGGGUGACGGGGAAUUAGGGUUCGGUUCCGGAGAGCGGGCCUGAGAGACGGCCAGCACAUCCAAGGAAGGCAGCAGGCGCGCAAAUUACCCAAUGCUGAUUCGGCGAGGUAGUGACAAGGAGUGGUGACGAUUUGUUCCGUAAGGGAUGAAUUGAUCGCGAUGAGGGGCAGUUAAAUCUCGUGCCCGAAAGCAACUUCAGGGCAAGUCUGGUGCCAGCAGCCGCGGUAAUUCCAGCUGAAGUAGCGUAUAUUAAAUUUGUUGCAGUUAAAAAGCUCGUAGUUGGAUUUCAGGCUGUGGGUUGGCUGCGGGCGCGGGUGGGGUUUCCCCAGUCGUGUUUCCGUGGUCCCCUGGCCUUUUGUGGGGUGGGUGGAGGUCAAACUCUGCCCGCUUUCCCACCAGUUACUUUGAGAAAAUUAGAGUGCUCCAGGCAGGCUUCACCGCCACUACAUACUCGAGCAUGGGAUAGCGUCCUCGGAACUUUUGGUUCUUUGGCCGGUUCUUAUCUUUAACCAAAAUUCAUGAUUGAUAGGGGUGGUCGGGGGUGCUCGAAUUCCGAGAGCAGAGGUGAAAUUCUUGACCCUCGGAAGUCGGACGACAGCGAAAGCAUUCACCAAGGACACUUUCUUUAAUCAAGAGCGAAAGUAGGGGGAUCGAAGACGAUCAGAUACCGUCGUAGUCUCUGCUAUAAACGUUGUGCGUUGGAGGGCGGUGGGUGGGUUGGAGUGUGCGGGGAAACCCGUGCGCUCCUCUUCCUCCACCACAAUCCUGUGGAAAACCAAAACGCACUCCGGGGGGAGUAUCGUCGCAAGGCAGAAACUUAAAGGCUUUGACGGAAGGAAACACCAGGAGUGGAGCCUGCGGCUUAAAUUGACCCAACACGGGAAAACUUACCAGGUCCGGACAUUUUGAGGAUUGACAACCUGAAGCGUUUUCAAGAUUAAGUGGAGGGUGGUGCAUGGCCGUUCGUGGUUGGUGUUGUGGGAUGUCUGGUUGAUUCCGUUAACGAGCGAGACGAGGGGGGUGGUCAGUGGGUGGCGACAUCUGCCGACGAUUUAACUAGGUGGGCGCGGCCGUCAGGCCGUGGCCAGCCUUCUUAGCCCGACAAGCGCCGACUAGGCGCUGGAGGUUCCUCGCAAUAACAGGUCCGUGAUGCCCUUAGAUGUUCUGGGCCGCACGCGCGCUACACUGGUGUGUGUAAUGGGUUUUACAAGUUGGGCGGGCCGCGAGGUCCGUCCAUCAGCGCGGUCGAGAGGCCCCGCAAAUCCUUCAAUCCACACCGUGCUGGGGACAGAGCAUUGCAAUUAUUGCUCUCGAACGAGGAAUUCCUAGUAAACGUACGUCAUCAGCGUACAUUGAUUAAGUCCCUUUCCUUUGUACACACCGCCCGUCGCUGUAACCGAUUGGAGGAUUGGGUGAGUUGUGGGGAGGUGGGACUUGUGCCUGUCGAACCACACCAAACUUACUCCUCUAGAGGAUGCAAAAGUCGUAACAAGGUA